GGGAGUGGAUCGACAUAGUAUUUUCAGCGUUUAACAACUUAAAUUAUGCCCUGCUCCUCGCACUACUAUUAUAUUCUGCCAGAGUGGACUGCAACUGCAAUGCAUCGUCGUUUGGAUUACUGUGAGGCCAAAACCAGCCGGUUGUGAAUGUGAUGAUGGGCCAAACCUUCAUCACAGCUCAGAAUCAUGGGUAUGGCACAGACAGGGAACCCCUUCUUCCAGGCUGAAGUCCUCUCUUUAUCAAUGCAAAUGAUGGAAACAUAUUCUGGAUUUCAUAUUUCAUAAGGCAUUAUGCAUCGUACCAAGCCAGUGUUCACAGCACAGUUCCACCCCGAGGCCAAGGGAAAACCCACAGACACAGAGGUCCUGCAGCACUGUCAAAGGAUUGUGAAGAGUCUGAUCUUUUUAUUUUUCAUGGCUGAAUGUUCUCUCUUGAUCAUGUUGUGUUGAACCCUCUGUAGAGAUUCAAAUAUGGCUGCCCUAAACAGAAGGCCGCUGAUUAUUUAAUUAAAAACCAGCCAGCGUACUUGAGCACUUUCUUCAAUUAUCUUUUAUAGUUCCUGUUUGAUGCUUUCAUCUCUCUGAUAAGGAAGAGAAAGGAGGGGAGCAUCGCAUCUGUGAUGCCAAAGAAACCUGUUGUUCCUCAGAGAAUCCAGAUGGGGGAGACAAACUACAUAAGUUGGAAGCCAUCUGUUGAGUACAGUUACAGAUAGAUACUUGUUUGCUGUCUUUUUUUUACCCAGGUGUCUAAAGCGCUGGUGCUGGGUUCUGGAGGCAUGUCCAUCGUCAGGCGGGAGAGUUUGACUACUCCGGAUCCCAAGCUGUCAAAGCUAUGAAGACUAACGAAGUUGGAACCAAGCAGGCAGUCUCUGUGUACUUCCUGCCCAUCACUCCUGAGUUUGUGAUGGAAGUGAUCAAAGUAGAGCGACCCAAUGACAUCCUGCUCACCAUGGGACGAUAGACGGCUCUCAACUGUGCUGAGCAGCAUUCAACAUCAAACUUUACCAAAGUCACCAACACUGAAAGGCUUGAUUGAUGAUGGUGGAGCUUUGGAAGUAUGGAGUACAAGUUUUGGGCACACCUGUGGAGUCUAUUAUGGCCACUGAGGACCGGCAGCUCUUUUCAGAUAAACUAAUGGAGAUCAACGAAAAGAUUUCUCCCAGUAUCACUGUUAGAACGGUGGCAGAUGCCUUGAAGGAUUGGCAUCAGAUUGGCUACCCUUGGUCAUGUUGAGAUCAGCUUAUGCCCUGGGUGGCCCUGGAUCAGGCCUGUGUGCUAAUGGAGAGAAGCUAAAGGACACUGCUCGCAAGCCAGAUCCUGGUGGAAAAGACCCUUCUGGGCUGGAAGGAAAUGGAGUAUGAGGUGGUUAGAGAUGUUGCUGAUAACUGUGGCACUGUCUGCAAUAUGGAGAACUUAGACCCUCUAGGCAUCCAAUCCAUAGAGGU